UACGUGAUCUAGUUCCGAAUA
ensembl:piRNA 21ur-1237 ncRNA